rnacentral:ncRNA from 1 species
UAAUUGAAGAGUUUGAUCAUGGCUCAGAUUGAACGCUGGCGGCAGGCCUAACACAUGCAAGUCGAGCGGCAGCGACAUUAACAAUCCUUCGGGUGCGUUGAUGGGCGGCGAGCGGCGGACGGGUGAGUAAUGCCUGGGAACAUGCCUUAGUGUGGGGG